rnacentral:rRNA from 1 species
AUGAACGCUGGCGGCGUGGAUAAGGCAUGCAAGUCAAACGGGCUCUGUAGCAAUACAGAGUACAGUGGCGAACGAGUUAGUAAUACCUUGGAACGUACUCCGAAGACGGGGAUAACUAGUCGAAAGAUUAGCUAAUACCCGAUAGUACAGCAAUGUUAAAGACGCAAGUCACUUCGGAAGCGGCCUAGGUCCUAUCAGCUUGUUGGUGAGGUAAUGGCUCACCAAGGCAAUGACGGGUAGGGGGUGUGAGAGCACGGCCCCCAACGAUGACACUGCGAUACGGGUCAUACACCUACGGGUGGCUGCAGUCGAGAAUAUUCGACAAUGGGCGAAAGCCUGAUCGAGCGACGCCGCGUGCGGGAAGAAGUGCUUCGGCAUGUAAACCGCUUUUGCGUGGGAGAAAUUUUGAUAGUACCACGAGAAUAAGGGGUUGCUAACCUCGU